rnacentral:rRNA from 1 species
UGAGGAAUUUUGCGCAAUAGGGGAAACCCUGACGCAGCAACGCCGCGUGAGUGAAGAAGGCCUUCGGGUCGUAAAGCUCUGUCAAGUGGGAAAAAAGUCAACUAGUGAAUAGCUGGUUGGCCUGAUGGUACCACUAGAGGAAGCACCGGCUAACUCCGUGCCAGCAGCCGCGGUAAUACGGAGGGUGCAAGCGUUGUUCGGAAUUAUUGGGCGUAAAGCGCGUGUAGGCGGUUUGGUAAGUCAGAUGUGAAAGCCCUGGGCUUAACCCAGGAAGUGCAUUUGAAACUGCCAUACUCGAGUAUGGGAGAGGAGAGUGGAAUUCCCAGUGUAGAGGUGAAAUUCGUAGAUAUUGGGAGGAACACCCGUGGCGAAGGCGACUCUCUGGACCAAUACUGACGCUGAGACGCGAAAGCGUGGGGAGCAAACAGG